rnacentral:lncRNA from 1 species
UGGGUGAGGGAAUCUCUCUCCUUGUCCCACUCCUCUUCCAAUUAUUUGAAAUGCAAAUAGACAUUAAGGAUAUCAGCAUUUCCUUAACCAAUGUAAAUAUAUUUUGUACUUUUCCAGUGGCUCACAAAGGAGGAAAAGAAUACCUGUUGAUAAACAAAAUAUAGUUUAAAAGGGAUUUAUGAUUUUUGGCUGCAAGUUAAUGGUAAGGGAGUUUUGAUUAGAGAUUUUAUUAGUUCUCAGAAGUCUGUGGUCCUGUGUUUACUCUGUAUUUUGGCAUGAAAUUCACUGUGGUACUAGAUGCAUAUGAAGAUGUGAGAGAAGCCCUGGUUCAACUUGGGGGGGGGCAGAGUUUACUGGAAGAGGCAGUGUUUCACUGGCUGAAAAUUUCAUAAAGGCUUUGGUAAUUAUACAUGUGCCUGAUGUGCACAAGUGUGUGGUUGUCAGUGGUCAUGGGGAUAAGGAAGAUUGAAACAGGCUUGAAGAGCUCCUUAGAGAGAACUUAUCUGUGUGACUUCCACAUUCAGCUUCCCCUUUCUUGCUUGUGCUCGCCCUCAAUUAGGAAUUGUUUUCAGCAGUAGAAGGUCUCUUUCAUGACUUUAUGAAAUUUGUGAAUGAGGAAGAGGACUAUUGAGAAUCAUGUUCAAGAGGAAGCCCACUGUCUUGUGGAAGAGCUGAGAAAAACCAGUGGUUUGAGCUCGCAGGCUGAUUCCUACAGUCAGCCUACACGAUGGACAAAAUUUAAAAUUUAUGAAGACCAUCUGUGGAUGAUUACAGAGAGCAUAUCCUAUUCCACACCAUUACACCAGAAACUCUACAGACUUAUGGAUCAGGAAUCAU